rnacentral:rRNA from 1 species
AAAGGAAUUGACGGGGGCCCGCACAAGCAGUGGAGUAUGUGGUUUAAUUCGACGCAACGCGAAGAACCUUACCAGGGCUUGACAUAUACAGGAAUAAUUAAGAGAUUAAUUAGCUCUUCGGAGUCUGUAUACAGGUGGUGCAUGGUUGUCGUCAGCUCGUGUCGUGAGAUGUUGGGUUAAGUCCCGCAACGAGCGCAACCCCUGUCCUUAGUUGCUAACAGUAAGAUGAGAACUCUAAGGAGACUGCCGGUGAUAAAUCGGAGGAAGGUGGGGACGACGUCAAAUCAUCAUGCCCUUUAUGUCCUGGGCUACACACGUACUACAAUGGCUAUUACAGAGAGAAGCAAUAUAGUGAUAUGGAGCGAAACUCCAAAAGUAGUCUCAGUUCGGAUUGUAGGCUGAAAUUCGCCUACAUGAAGCCGGAAUUGCUAGUAAUGGCAGGUCAGCAUACUGCCGUGAAUACGUUCCCGGGCCUUGUACACACCGCCCGU